rnacentral:tRNA from 1 species
GAGAAUAUAGCUCAUUGGUAGAGUUCAUGCUUAGCAUGCACAAGAUCCUGGGUUCAAUCCCCAGUAUCUCCA